rnacentral:rRNA from 1 species
CGGAUGGGUGAGUAAUGUCUGGGAAACUGCCUGAUGAGGGGGAUAACUACUGGAAACGGUAGCUAAUACCGCAUAACGUCGCAAGACCAAAGAGGGGGACCUUCGGGCCUCUUGCCAUCGGAUGUGCCCAGAUGGGAUUAGCUAGUAGGUGGGGUAACGGCUCACCUAGGCGACGAUCCCUAGCUGGUCUGAGAGGAUGACCAGCCACACUGGAACUGAGACACGGUCCAGACUCCUACGGGAGGCAGCAUG